GUAGGGCCCAAGCAAGCCAGGAAGGAGGAGGCAGCCAGAGUGUUCUCUGCAGCAGAAGACCCCUUGCGGCCCUGCUUAACCCAGACCAGCAUUUGCCAGGAGAUACUUCCUGUCGCUAAGAGAGGCCCCCACAAGAUUGCCAGUGCAGCUUCAGGCAAUGAGUGUCCUAGAGAGAAGUGGGACCACAACAAUGCUGCUAGAGAAACAGGGGCUUUCAUACUUCACAGCUAAACCCAGAGGUACCCUACCACAUUUGCCAGCUCUAGAGGUGAUCCAGAAAGGAGAGGAAGUUUACUGUGCCAACCUAGCCAGUCAGCAGCAAUGCAGAGGCUCACUUGGUGCUGUCAUUUUGUUCUUUUAGACACCAGGUGGAGAGCCUUUUUUCACUCCAGCUUUUUAAAAUUAUUUUUUGUAAUUGAUUUUAAAAGAUAUUUAAAAUGUAUUGCAACUUGUAUUUUUUAUUUUGUGCUAUAAUUUGUUUGUCAUGCUCAUGUGUUUUUAUUGGAUGUUUUUAAAUGUUGUGUCAUGAGCUGCCCAGAGAACAAUUUUUUAUGGGGCAGCUAACAAAUAGUGUAUUUACUAUUACUACUAUGCCUGGAGAGAAGCACCAGCAAAAUUGGUAAAAACCAUUAAAACAAUCUUCCUUUUCAA